AUUUGAUGAUUUCUAGAUGACGAGUCUUAUUCGAGUUUUCGAUGCAGACAACAUCUUUUUUAUACCAUUCAUGCUUUCCUGAAA
rnacentral:snoRNA from 1 species